AAUCAUAGUGGCCUACUGGGCACUGAUCUUUCAUACAUUCUUUUGCAACCCACCCCCAGUACUCCCCUAGCUGCUUAUGCUCCUGUUGAUAUCUCAUUUCUUAUUGCUCACCUUUUUUUUUCCCCUGUUCAUUAGGGAAGCAAAGGCCAAAAGCAAAAGCUGACUAUUAAAAAAAUCGGCGAACGCAAAUCAGGGUCUGAACUAAGAGCCCAGCUGUUGCAUAAUUCCCAGAACUCCAGUCAAUCAACCUCACUUGGACACUUCUCUGAAAUUUCUUGCAAAUCUAAACCAGCAAAAGCAGACGUGG